rnacentral:rRNA from 1 species
GACGAACGCUGGCGGCGUGCUUAAUACAUGCAAGUCAACGACUUUUAGAGUAGCAAUAUUUUAAAGGGAGUGGCGCACGGGUGAGUAACACGUAGGUAAUCUGCCUUCAGGACUGACACAACUCGUCGAAAGACGGGCUAAUAUCAGAUAAUGCAGCGGCUCCGCAUGGAGACAGUUGUUAAAGUACAAGCGCCUGAAGAUGAGCCUGCGGUCCAUUAGCUAGUUGGUAGAGUAACAGCCUACCAAGGCAACGAUGGAUAGCUGGUCUGAGAGGAUGAUCAGCCACACUGGAACUGAGACACGGUCCAGACUCCUACGGGAGCAGCAGUAAGGAUAUUGCUCAAUGGCCGAAAGGCUGAAGCAGCAACGCCGCGUGAAGGAUGAAUGGCCUUUGGCCUGUAAACUUCUAGUAAAAAGGGAAAACAGUCAGGCAUGUCCUGAUUUGAUUGUACCUUUGAAGUAAGCCCCGGCUAACUACG